CCGGGCUGCCGCUCUAAAAGGAGGAAUAAAACAAGCAAGGGAGCCGGUACAUAGACACCCUCCACCUACUACAACUACUACAAACGCGGUCUCGCGAACUCAACUGAUAAGUCCUCGUUGGCAAUAGAAUACUUGCAUCCAAAGUUGUUUGUAGUUUAAUAUCUUAUUUGUAAAUCCGUCAGACGUCAAUUCACCUGCCAAGUGGUAUGACAAAUUGGGCGCUCCGGUAAUGGUAUGACGAUUUAGAGCUCACCAAACUCAAAUCAGAGAAAAUGAAGUGUACUGAAUGUGCAGGAACAAAAUUUACUGAAGACAGUGGCUUACGGACAUGUGACUUCUGUGGAACAGAGGUUAGGGAUUUUGUUGCUCUUGAGAGUCAGGAAUUCCUUUCCAAUCUUGAUGUUUCUCAGAUAACUCGAAUCAAGAAAGAAAGAUUUAAAAAUGAUGAUGGACGGGAAAUAACAC